UCCCGGUUAACCCGGGCAGUCUCACUAGAGUUCCCACCAUUACGUGUUGGCAACUAGUGAUAAGGGUUGCGCUCGUUGCGGGACUUAACCCAACACCUCACGGCACGAGCUGACGACAGCCAUGCAGCACCUGUUCAGCAGCCCCGAAGGGAAAUACUAUUUCUAGUAUCGUCUACUGUAUGUCAAGCCUGGGUAAGGUUCUUCGCGUUGCAUCGAAUUAAACCACAUGCUCCACUGCUUGUGCGGGUCCCCGUCAAUUCUUUUGAGUUUCACCCUUGCGAGUGUACUCCCCAGGCGGUAUACUUAUCGCGUUAGCUACGGCACAGUCGGGGUUGAGUCCAACUACACCAAGUAUACAUCGUUUACGGCAAGGACUAC
rnacentral:misc_RNA from 1 species